UUGGCCAUCUAUGAACACAGAAUUGCUGUGGAAGGUUUCGGAAGGGGUAUCAAUUCUUUCGACCAGUGGGGAGUGGAGUUGGGGAAGUCACUGGCUACUCAAGUCAGAAAGCAACUACAUGCGUCUCGCACAAAAGGGGAACCAGUGGAGGGCUUUAACUUUAGUACUACAACAUUGUUAACUAGAUAUUUAGAGGCUACUGCAGAUAUCCCUUCUGAUCCUCCUACCCUUCUACCAAGGAUAUAAUUGCUUAACAUUUGGCUUUUCAAGUGAGGAGACUUCAUGGUAUCAACCUCAUAUAUCAGCUGUUGUUGAUAUUCACUAUUUAACUUAUUGUCAACCUCAGAAUCAGAUGAGCUGAUUGUAUCAGCCUAAUAAUUGGUACCAAUCCAUGCAAUUUUGUUAAUGUUUUCAUGCGAGUUUGCUAAUGUUACGCACAUGUUUUACGUCUU